rnacentral:rRNA from 1 species
GAGCGGACAGAUGGGAGCUUGCUCCCUGAUGUUAGCGGCGGACGGGUGAGUAACACGUGGGUAACCUGCCUGUAAGACUGGGAUAACUCCGGGAAACCGGGGCUAAUACCGGAUGGUUGUUUGAACCGCAUGGUUCAGACAUAAAAGGUGGCUUCGGCUACCACUUACAGAUGGACCCGCGGCGCAUUAGCUAGUUGGUGAGGUAACGGCUCACCAAGGCAACGAUGCGUAGCCGACCUGAGAGGGUGAUCGGCCACACUGGGACUGAGACACGGCCCAGACUCCUACGGGAGGCAGCAGUAGGGAAUCUUCCGCAAUGGACGAAAGUCUGACGGAGCAACGCCGCGUGAGUGAUGAAGGUUUUCGGAUCGUAAAGCUCUGUUGUUAGGGAAGAACAAGUGCCGUUCAAAUAGGGCGGCACCUUGACGGUACCUAACCAGAAAGCCACGGCUAACUACGUGCCAGCAGCCGCGGUAAUACGUAGGUGGCAAGCGUUGUCCGGAAUUAUUGGGCGUAAAGGGCUCGCAGGCGGUUUCUUAAGUCUGAUGUGAAAGCCCCCGGCUCAACCGGGGAGGGUCAUUGGAAACUGGGGAACUUGAGUGCAGAAGAGGAGAGUGGAAUUCCACGUGUAGCGGUGAAAUGCGUAGAGAUGUGGAGGAACACCAGUGGCGAAGGCGACUCUCUGGUCUGUAACUGACGCUGAGGAGCGAAAGCGUGGGGAGCGAACAGGAUUAGAUACCCUGGUAGUCCACGCCGUAAACGAUGAGUGCUAAGUGUUAGGGGGUUUCCGCCCCUUAGUGCUGCAGCUAACGCAUUAAGCACUCCGCC